AUGAUAUCUAUCAACUUUUCCCAGAUCAAAAUACAAUAUAUUUUUCUUCAAAAAGAGCUCCAAAUACAACUGACUUUUCGUUGUUUAAACUUUACUAAUAUUGUCGUGUGUGUAUUAGCUCUGAAGUAUGUUCUGAAAGAAUAUGUAAUAUUUUCGUGUUGCAUCCAUUUGUGGAGAGUUUAUCUAAAUGCUCAAUGCAUGAACUUCACAACCCCCUUAGAGCUCCUUCUGGUUUGUGUUGUUUUCUUGUACUAUGGAUUUAAGGUGAUUCUCGAGGGGAACAAGUCGCCAUGGACCGGCGAGAUCAAGAGAGGCUCCACGGUUGUGAGGAGCGCCGACUAA
rnacentral:rRNA from 1 species